UACAGAGGUCCCAAGCGUUGUUCGGAUUCAUUGGGCGUAAAGGGUGCGUAGGCGGCGCGGUAAGUCGGGUGUGAAAUCUCGGAGCUUAACUCCGAAACUGCAUUCGAUGCUGCCGUGCUUGAGGACUGGAGAGGAGACUGGAAUUUACGGUGUAGCGGUGAAAUGCGUAGAUAUCGUAAGGAAGACCAGUGGCGAAGGCGGGUCUCUGGGCCUUACCUGACGCUGAGGCGCGAAAGCUAGGGGAGCGAACAGG
rnacentral:rRNA from 1 species